rnacentral:misc_RNA from 1 species
CGUUUUCCUGUUUCCACAAUGUAACUUGUAAGGGUCAAAGCUAACCAGGAAUAACUAGCUGGCAUUAAAGUGACAGAAACGCCAGUCAUUGGAAAUACGCUUUCCAGGAUGGAAAGUACCGCGAGAGAUUCGUCUUGUACACUCUGUAAAAAGUUUUAAAUUCUCAAAUGUCGUGGAACCCGCUUUUUCGCACUUCUGAACAGUCAGCUAGAACUAGUAGAACAACUAUUUUUUUUACACUAUGUGAUAAAGCAAGUGCAGCGCGCAGCUGGAAUUGAAUGUGAUUCAGUGAUGUUAAGACGUAGACGUGGAAAAUGGAGGGUCACACAAUAUCGUUUACAAGAUAGUACAGACUGGGUCAUUUGUCAAUAUCAUGUAGGCUACAAACACAUGUGAUAUAGACAUACACUACAUGUUCAUUGCUUUCCCCUGCAUGAAGCCUUGCUCAACAGAUAGACUAGACGCCUGUGUGACUUUUUGCAAGCAUGUCACGUAGACACAAACCUGUAGUAUUCCCCACCCAAGUCACCCUUUUCAAUGCCGACAACUUAUCUGUGUGCACGAAUGGCAUGACAAGAAAUCAGUCUUCCCAACAUUUCAGGAGAACGGUUCGAUUGUCCACACAAGACAGAGCUGAGACAAGCCUUCUCUUGCACCUGACAGACCCCACCACACAAGCGAGGAUUUUUGUCAUGCGUUUAGCAAAUUUUUUAGUUUUUGCCUUGCUUUUAAUACAUAUCUGAUUUCUUUGCUAUGUUCAUGAAAUGCAAACAGAACAGCAGAGAUAGAGCAUUAAAACAGAAGAUAGGAUGUAUUAUUUUGGAUUAAACGAGCACAGAUAAAACAUCAAAAUAUUGAUGAUGAAAAACAUCAUUGUUCAAAUUGCAACAUACAUGAGCAUGUAGAGUUGGGUUUUUUUAUAUUCUCGCGUAACCACUCGCAGAACAAAAAAAUAAACAAUGUUUAAGUGUUUUAUGCUUGCUCUUCUACAUAGAACUUCUUGGAAAAUGUGUAAAAUCAAAUAAACGUACAUGUGCAAUAGACAACAGCAGCAAUGGUUCUUCUUUACAUACAAGCAAAUGAAAUGUUCUCAAAGUAUAUAUAAAAACAUUUCAUUGUAUGGAGGAGGAAGCAAAAUUUACCUCAUAUGGAUUCUGAAAUUACAGUACGCAAUUCUAGGAGACAGGGAUAGGAAAGUAUGGUGGGACUUUUCAACUUUUUUAUUACAACUUUUCCUUCAGCUAGAAAUCCUUUCUCUUUAGCAGGACCAACCAAGCUGCUUCGAUUACAACCUUAUACAUAAAAUUUCUUGACAACCACUAAAUUCAACAGGAAAACAAUUUAAGUUUGCUUGUUUCUUAUUUGACAUUCAUCUUCUUCCUGUCAAAAUAAAUUUAAUAACACAUUCAUCAUUCAGUGACCCUAAGCAGUAUGUAUGCCCCUCUAGAUCUAGAGAGUUAGAGAGUCAUGACCCUGGGUGCAGGAACCAGCAACAUUAAUUAGUCAACAAUUAGUUAAAGAACAGCAAAGUCAGAAGAAACAUUUCUUUUAAGCUUAUUUCAGAAGCAGGACCUCCAAAAUUAACAUCCAACUAGUCAAGAAGGCAGAGCACCUUCAUAACCCCUCAACAACCCAAGUCAUAGAUCGUCCCCGUUGGGGGAUUCGAAUCAGGGUCAUCAGCACUGUGGCCCAGUAAAAUAGCAACUAAACAAACAGUGCCCCUGUGCAGUUCAGUGAAUACUCAAAAUUCUGAUAACUCUGAGCUGCAAGAACUCGAUGAAAAGAGUGGGUGGAAUCACAACACGAUUCAAAUCAAAGGAAUUUGUAGCUUUAUACUUAUUUUCUUUUUUUUGGUCACUUCAUUUACAUUUGUAAGCAAAAUGAAAAACAGAGAGGAAGGUAUUUAUUGAAGCUGAUAUCACUUUUAGCUUUUCUUUUUGUCUCUGUGAUAACGCUGAAGUUGAGGGAGUAAACCAAACAGCAAAAAAGCAUGCUCGUCCAAACAAUUUCACACUAAAAACAUUCCAAGCAAGACCUAGAUGCAUUACAUAAAAAUAACUACAGCCUAGCAUGCACCUAGCAAAAUUGACCUGACACAAAAAUCUUUUCAUUAUGUACGAAUUUUGUUAUGUAUGCGUUCUAAAUACAAAGAAUCUGUAAAAGAAAAGUUUGGGACCUGAAAAUCUGUUUGCCAUGCGUGUUUUUUGCUAUGAAAACGUUCGCUAUGUGUGUGCUACACUGGAUAUAUGUUAACAUUUCUUAUUACAGACCCAAAGUGCAUGACAUCACCAUAACCAUUGGUGAAGCUUUUCAGGUAGGUUGACAUUUCCUUUGUACUGACAGUAGGUUGACUGCGACCACUGUCAUGGGUCUGUAGUACAGACAAAACUUUUACAGCAUUGAACAAUAUUUUGCAUCUACACUGAAGGGAAGAUGGCUCAAAACAGAGCAUCAAUCUUCAAACAGACAGUACCUUUAAGAAGUACUUAUAAAAACAAAUGAUUCUCAGCAGGAAACAAACUUUUAGUGUGAACUAGUGAGUGAUUUAUCAAUUCAAUUUAUCGAAAUUUUUACGAUAUAUUCGUUUAGCACGAUAACGUGAGAAUGGUAGUCUCCAAGUGAUAUUUUUAAAAUAACUAAUGUCCAAUAAAAAAGAAUUCAUGAUUUUU